rnacentral:lncRNA from 1 species
CAUAACUUGAAGUCUAAACUUACUCUGAUCUCUAGGGAUGUAAUUUUUCAUGAGGAUGUCUUUCCUUUUGCUUCUUCAGGGAAUUCUUCCCAUGGUUCUUUUCCUACUCUUAAUCCUUCUUCUGCCUGGGUUCCUCCUGUUGAUGACUUUCUACACAAUCCUUUAUCAUCUUCCACCCAUCAACCUCUUGACUCUCCUUCUCUAUCUCUUGUAGGUGUUUGUACUCCAAAACUAUUCUGUCCUUCUACAGGUCUAAUAAAAUCCAAUGCACUCUUCUCUUCUUCCACCCAGCAACCUCUUGCCUCUCCUUCUCAUUCACCUUCUUAUCCAUCACAGAAUCUAUCAGUGCCUGCAUCAUCUGCUCCCAGAAGAUCCACUAAGGCGCAUGUUCUUCCUGCUCACCUACAGCAGUAUGUCUGCACUCUCCCUCCAUCUAUAUCUGACCCCAUUUCUUCUUCCACUUGUCUUCACAGUUUAGUUAGCAUUACAGAGGCAGAGCCUACCUCUUAUAAGCAGGCGUCCUCUAUUCCUGAAUGGCAGGAGGCAAUGACCAAGGAAUUUGCAGCUUUGGAGGCCAAUCAUACGUGGUCACUAGUUCCCCUUCCCCCUGGAAAGAUACCUAUUGGUUGCAAAUGGGUUUAUAUAAUAAAAUAUAGGGCUGAUGGGUCUAUGGAAAGACAUAAGGCUAGGCUGGUUGUUAGGGGUGACACCCAAGUUGAGGAUGUAGACUUUACUGAGACCUUCUCUCCUGUUGUCAAGUUUUCAACUAUUAAAUCCCUCACUGAUGUGGCUGUCAAACAACAUUGGUCCCUUUUUCAACUUGAUGUCAAUAAUGCCUUCUUACAUGGUGACUUAGCUGAGGAAGUUUAUAUGAAAUUGCCUCCUGGACUAGAUGUUACCUGUGCUACCUCUUCUUCUCCUUUGGUCUGUCUACUUCAGAAAUCUUUGUAUGGUUUAAGGCAAGCUUAUAGGAAGUGGUAUGCCAAGCUGUCCCAGGC